CCUACGGGUGGCACCAGUGGGGAAUAUUGCGCAAUGGGGGCAACCCUGACGCAGCGACGCCGCGUGAGCGAAGAAGGCCUUAGGGUCGUAAAGCUCUGUUUUAAGGGACGAAUGUUCAUGUUAGUAACUGAGCAUGGAAUGACGGUACCUUAAGAGGAAGCCCCGGCUAACUACGUGCCAGCAGCCGCGGUAAGACGUAGGGGGCGAGCGUUGUCCGGAAUUACUGGGCGUAAAGAGCACGUAGGCGGGAACUUAAGUCAGAUGUGAAAGACCGGGGCUCAACUCCGGGGUUGCAUUUGAAACUAAGUUUCUUGAGGGCAGGAGAGGAAAGUGGAAUUCCUGGUGUAGCGGUGAAAUGCGUAGAAAUCAGGAGGAAUACCAGUGGCGAAGGCGGCUUUCUGGACUGACCCUGACGCUGAGGUGCGAAAGCGUGGGUAGCAAACAGGAUUAGAUACCCUUGUAGUC
rnacentral:rRNA from 1 species